CUGAGUUGUAGAUAAACUGAUAAUGAAGCCAGGAGUAACUUGUGAAAUUCAGUUCUAGAACUGGGAUUCCAUACAAAUUCUCUGGUUUAGAUAUGCUUGUGGUUUGGAGGAACAUCUCGCAGUC